rnacentral:rRNA from 1 species
AGAGUUUGAUCCUGGCUCAGGACGAACGCUGGCGGCGUGCCUAAUACAUGCAAGUCGAGCGGACCUCUUCGGAGGUCAGCGGCGGACGGGUGAGUAACACGUGGGCAACCUGCCUGUAAGACUGGGAUAACUCCGGGAAACCGGAGCUAAUACCGGAUACUAUGUCAAACCGCAUGGUUUGACAUUCAAAGACGGUUUCGGCUGUCACUUACAGAUGGGCCCGCGGCGCAUUAGCUAGUUGGUGAGGUAACGGCUCACCAAGGCGACGAUGCGUAGCCGACCUGAGAGGGUGAUCGGCCACACUGGGACUGAGACACGGCCCAGACUCCUACGGGAGGCAGCAGUAGGGAAUCUUCCGCAAUGGACGAAAGUCUGACGGAGCAACGCCGCGUGAGUGAUGAAGGUUUUCGGAUCGUAAAACUCUGUUGUCAGGGAAGAACAAGUGCCGGAGUAACUGCCGGCGCCUUGACGGUACCUGACCAGAAAGCCACGGCUAACUACGUGCCAGCAGCCGCGGUAAUACGUAGGUGGCAAGCGUUGUCCGGAAUUAUUGGGCGUAAAGCGCGCGCAGGCGGUUUCUUAAGUCUGAUGUGAAAGCCCCCGGCUCAACCGGGGAGGGUCAUUGGAAACUGGGAAACUUGAGUGCAGAAGAGGAGAGUGGAAUUCCACGUGUAGCGGUGAAAUGCGUAGAGAUGUGGAGGAACACCAGUGGCGAAGGCGACUCUCUGGUCUGUAACUGACGCUGAGGCGCGAAAGCGUGGGGAGCGAACAGGAUUAGAUACCCUGGUAGUCCACGCCGUAAACGAUGAGUGCUAAGUGUUAGAGGGUUUCCGCCCUUUAGUGCUGCAGCUAACGCAUUAAGCACUCCGCCUGGGGGAGUACGGUCGCAAGACUGAAACUCAAGGGAAUUGACGGGGCCCGCACAGGCGGUGGAGCAUGGUGGUUUAUUCGAGCACGCGAGACCUUACCAGGUCUGACAUCCUUUGCCACUUCUAGAGAUAGAAG